AGCAUGCCCCGUUAUUGAGGCAGCUGGAGUUGUAUAGUAUUUCUCCGACCCAGACAAAAAGAUGAUAUUGAAGUUUAUCUGUGCGGUUGUUACCCGGUCGCUAUUCCUCCUCAUCUCUCUGAUAGGAGUAUGGAGGGUGGUCUGGGUUAAGAAUAAUGCUCUUUAUUGGUUCUUGACGAUCCUUUAUCUUCCUCUGGUGGUCGAGAUGAUUUUAACCCUGAAGAGAAAACAAUUACAGGAUUAUAAAUGGUUUUCUCCUGCCAUCUUCCUGUUCCUCAUCAGUAUCAUUCCAUCUCUAUGGAUUCUAGAGUUACAUCAUCAGCAGAACAAAGCUACUGAUUCCAGGUGUGACAAACUGGAUUCAUCUGAAAACAUAAAGAGCCUGUUAAACAUGUGGAGAGGGAAUUCCACCAAUGGCAGCGAGACGUUACUCC